UGGGUUCAGAACGUCGCGAGACAGUUCGGUCCUCUAUCCUCUGUGGGCGUAGGAGAAUUGAGGGGUUCAUUUCCUAGUACGAGAGGACCGGAAAUGACGCACCUCUGGUGCACCAGUUGUUCUGUCAAGGGCACGGCUGGGUAGCUAUGUGCGGACUCGAUAAGCGCUGAAAGCAUCUAAGCGUCAAGCGAUUCCCAAGAUGAAUUCUCCCUGAAGGAUCGUGGAAGACUACCACGUUGAUAGGCUGCAGGUAUAAGGUCAGUAAUGGUCUCAGCUGAGCAGUACUAAUCAUCCGUCUGGCUUGUUUCA
rnacentral:rRNA from 1 species